AGCGAACGCUGGCGGCAGGCCUAACACAUGCAAGUCGAACGAACUCUUCGGAGUUAGUGGCGGACGGGUGAGUAACACGUGGGAACGUGCCUUUUGGUUCGGAAUAACUCAGUGAAACUUGUGCUAAUACCGAAUGUGCCCUUCGGGGGUAAGAUUUAUCGCCAUUUGAGCGGCCCGCGUCUGAUUAGCUAGUUGGUGAGGUAACCGCUCACCAAGGCGACGAUCAGUAGCUGGUCUGAGAGGAUGACCAGCCACACUGGGACUGAGACACGGCCCAGACUCGGACGGGAGGGAGCAGUGGGGAAUAUUGCGCAAUGGGCGAAAGCCUGACGCAGCCAUGCCGCGUGAAUGAUGAAGGUCUUAGGAUUGUAAAAUUCUUUCACCGGGGACGAGAAUGACGGUACCCGGAGAAGAAGCCCCGGCUAACUUCGUG
rnacentral:rRNA from 1 species